GACGAACGCUGGCGGCGUGCCUAAUACAUGCAAGUCGAGCGCAGGAAACUGACGGAACUCUUCGGAGGGAAGGCAGUGGAAUGAGCGGCGGACGGGUGAGUAACACGUAAGGAACCUGCCUCAAGGAUUGGGAUAACUCCGAGAAAUCGGAGCUAAUACCGGAUAGUUCAACGGACCGCAUGGUCCGCUGAUGAAAGGCGCUUCGGCGUCACCUUGAGAUGGCCUUGCGGUGCAUUAGCUAGUUGGUGGGGUAACGGCCCACCAAGGCGACGAUGCAUAGCCGACCUGAGAGGGUGAUCGGCCACACUGGGACUGAGACACGGCCCAGACUCCUACGGGAGGCAGCAGUAGGGAAUCUUCCACAAUGGACGAAAGUCUGAUGGAGCAACGCCGCGUGAGUGAUGAAGGUCUUCGGAUCGUAAAACUCUGUUGUAAGGGAAGAACACGUACGAGAGGAAAUGCUCGUACCUUGACGGUACCUUACGAGAAAGCCACGGCUAACUACGUGCCAGCAGCCGCCGUAA
rnacentral:rRNA from 1 species